AGUGAACGCUGGCGGUAGGCCUAACACAUGCAAGUCGAACGGCAGCACAGUAAGAGCUUGCUCUUACGGGUGGCGAGUGGCGGACGGGUGAGGAAUACAUCGGAAUCUACUUUUUCGUGGGGGAUAACGUAGGGAGACUUACGCUAAUACCGCAUACGACCUACGGGUGAAAGCAGGGGAUCUUCGGACCUUGCGCGAUUGAAUGAGCCGAUGUCGGAUUAGCUAGUUGGCGGGGUAAAGGCCCACCAAGGCGACGAUCCGUAGCUGGUCUGAGAGGAUGAUCAGCCACACUGGAACUGAGACACGGUCCAGACUCCUACGGGAGGCAGCAGUGGGGAAUAUUGGACAAUGGGCGCAAGCCUGAUCCAGCCAUACCGCGUGGGUGAAGAAGGCCUUCGGGUUGUAAAGCCCUUUUGUUGGGAAAGAAAAGCAGCAGGUUAAUACCCUGCUGUUCUGACGGUACCCAAAGAAUAAGCACCGGCUAACUUCGUG
rnacentral:rRNA from 1 species